rnacentral:rRNA from 1 species
GAUGAACGCUGGCGGCGUGCCUAAUACAUGCAAGUCGAGCGAACGGACGAGAAGCUUGCUUUUCUGAUGUUAGCGGCGGACGGGUGAGUAACACGUGGAUAACCUACCUAUAAGACUGGGAUAACUUCGGGAAACCGGAGCUAAUACCGGAUAAUAUCUUGAACCGCAUGGUUCAAAAGGGAAAGACGGUCUUGCUGUCACUUAUAGAUGGAUCCGGGCUGCAUUAGCUAGUUGGUAAGGUAACGGCUUACCAAGGCAACGAUGGAUAGCCGACCUGAGAGGGUGAUCGGCGACACUGGAACUGAGACACGGUCCAGACUCCUACGGGAGGCAGCAGUAGGGAAUCUUCCGCGAAGGGCGAAAGCCUGACGGAGCAACGCCGCGUGAGUGAUGAAGGUCUUCGGAUCGUAAAACUCUGUUAUUAGGGAAGAACAUAUGUGUAAGUAACUGUGCACAUCUUGACGGUACCUAAUCAGAAAGCCACGGCUAACUACGUG